UGCUAGAAAUGGUGGACCGUCUUGUCGAAUGAUGCAAUUUUCUUGUUAUGCAGAAGGAGAAUUACAAAUCUGACAAAUAGGUUUUAUCGCGCCCGAGUUUCCUUUAAUAAAGUUCUUCUUUCUUAAAAAGAGACAUGUUCUUUCCGUUUUUGGAAAGUGACAUAUUUGUCAGGCUUGUGAUUCUCCUUUGAUAGCAUAGAAAAUAGUAUCAAUCGGUAAGUGGAUCUCCAUGCGUCUGAGUCGGAUAAAGAAACGAGUAUUUGAUCGGACAUUUUUCCGGCGCCGGCGAUCUUUCCCCGGUUUUUCAGGAUUUCCGGUGAUGCUUUUUAAAGAAGUUGUUCUUUUUAUUCAAAACCCCUAAUUGAUUAUCCGUUCGAAUUAAAUCUUGUUGUUUUUUUUGUGAGUACGUUUCAGCUUUUUGAAACCCUAGUAAGCUGCUUCAGUUUGAAUCCCAAAUUUGAACCCUAAAUUUGUGUAACUAAUAGACCAUUAAGAGCUUGCUUAAACUGUUCUUAAUUGAUUGGACUAAUUUUUUUCUUGAAGUAGAAACUAAUUUGCCUGAUAAAUUUUUUCUUGAAAGUUUAGUUUUUUUUGUAUGUGCUGUGAGUUUAACAAGCAUUUCUGAUUUUAAUAAAGUAACUUUGUGCUAUGAGAAGCAUUUAACUAGGCUGCUUUAGUGUUCACUUCUAAUUUAGUUUUCACAUUUUUACUUCUUUUGCAAUACUUGUUGGCUAUUCUUCAGUAUUGUAAUGAUUAGUUUCAUUUAUUUCCUAAAGUUUGUACUUUUUGGGUUUUAAAUCCUUCAUGAUUCCAAGUGAUUAGUUAGUUCAGUUGCAGGUGCAGGAAACAUUUCUUAAGCGUCAUGAUAGGAUUUCUUAGUUACUGAUUACUUUUCAUAUUUGCUGAAAUCGGCUUGUUUAAUUACCUGUUAUACCUUUUAUGGUGCAGAAUGUAGCAUCCUGUCAAGAAGAAGUAUUGUGUGCUAAAUUCUACCAGUUUAUUUCUUGUCAAUACAUUACGGUGAUACUGCGCUCUGUCUCAGAAAUAAUCAAAGCUAUAGUUGACGUGCCUUUUCUUAUUAAAUAUAUGUUGAAGUUUGGAUACCGUUGCAUAUAUAGCUAUAUAGAAUGGAAUAAACUUAUCCUACUGUGGAACAUAGUUAUGCUUUGAUCUUAUUAUGAGAAUAAGAUAUGUAGACGAAAAUGAGUGACGGAAGCAUGAAUACGUAUAUGUUAUGCAUCAAUUGCCAACCGGAAUUGCUAUGAUAUUGCCUCACUAGAUCUGAUUCAAUGUUUUACCUCUACCACCUUCUUAACUUUCUGUGUCCAACACCCCCCCCCACCCCUCCUUUUCCUUCUCGGGGAGCCUGGAAUUUGGCUUCGGCACCUAUCCUGUGAGACCCUGCUAAUAUCUAGCUGAAACCUAAUGUAACAAUUUUAGAUGAAGUUAGGUUCUUAACUUCCUUAGAACUUGCUGAGCUGCUUCUCUUUUGUUGGGAAGCAUGUCCUUUAUUUUCUCAUUUCCUGGUGAUUAUAUACGAUAUUAAGCGUGAUUUAGCAGACUUAUGGCAUUAUGGAACAUUAUUCAUAAAGAUGAUACCGGUGAUUGCAUCUUUGUGCUUACUAAAUUUAUUGCUUGGAGCUUCUCAGUCACUUUGAAGAUUUAAAUGCCUUUUUUUCCUUUUGGGUUUGGUUUUUCACGCUGACAAUUCCUUGUCCGAGACGCUACAUAUUUUCUAAUUAUUCUGAUUGGUACCGACAAUCAUAACCUCUAAUUUUUGUUGUUUUUCUAAAGCUUGUUUUUUGUCUGUGUCGAUGCACUUCCAUUGUUAACUAUGAAUAUUGCAUGUCUGUGAACAAUUAAGAUUUUUCACUUCAUAAUGAGGAAUCUCUUAAAUGAGCCAUGCUCUUUGAAUAGGAAUAACUUUAUGGUGUUUUCAGUUCUUCACACUUUAUGGGCCUUAUUUUACUUAUAUGUUAGCCUCUUUCGGAUGUAUUCUUUUUUAUUGCAUCUAUUAGUGAGUAUGCAUCUUAAAAGCAAGCUGAACGGCUAGAAUUAGGACCUUGGUGACAUGUCUUGACUCAAGACUGUUAAUUCUUGAUUGUCGUAUUAAUACUGGAGCCACGUAGCAGAAGUAUCAAACUAGUGAACUCUCAAAGAUUGGUAUGACAAGAUGGAACAUAGAACCAAGCAUGUUGUGGCAGAAAGCUUACAAACUAGAACUUAGUGGAAAGUUAUUAGGAGACCUUUUAAAGAACUUCAAUACUCUGGUAAUGUUCAAAGUUCAAACUUAAAAUCUGAAGGUGUGAUCUGCUACUGCAAUUUGAUUAAGGUCAUGAAAUUUUUGCAAGUGUUGCAACCGUAACGUGUCACGCGAACAAAAUUGUUGCAAGCUUUUCAAUUAACAUUGUUGUUGAGGGACUCGUUCCUUCAAUGUUGUGGAUAAGAGUUAGUAAUGAACAAUAAUAGUUGCUCAGUGCUUAUGCAAUCCUAUUUGUAGAGAGAGAGAGGGAGAGAGGGAGAGAGGAAGAAUUCACAUAGUAUCGCCUAUGUUGAGAUUCAAGCCUUGGUUCCCAACAACAUUACUCUUCUCUUCGACUUCUAGACUAUCCCAUUGAGGGUGUUGGAAAUUUUGUGAAAGAUUCCUGUGAAAAGUAUAUGGCAUAUGGCUAUUAUGGGACAUUUAUUCCUCUAGAGACAUAGUUAUCUUCCCGGGCCGAGGGUCUACCAAAAAUAGCCUCUUUGCAUUCUUAAAAGUAAGGUUAAGGAUUGCGUAUGCUCUACCCUCCCCAAACCCCACUUGUGGGACUACACUGGGUAUGUUGUUGUACACAUAGUUAUCUUAUCAAAAAAAAAUUCCUCUAGAGAUAGUUCUGAUCUAAUAGCAUCCUCCAGAAGUAAUUCCACCAUUGCUUUUUGCUAAAAUUAUAGGCUAAAGUUCCUCAGAUUACUUUGAGGUUUGAAGUCCUUUCUUUCCUUUUGGGUUAAACAAUUGGACAGACUUUAGAGUCUUCGUCGAACUGUAGUCAGCACGAAAUAUCAUUAGAUGCCUGGGCAACAAUUAAGUUGUUGGUUCAUUAUGAUAAAACUACCAAAUGAACCUUGCUCCUAGCAUAGGAAUAAUUUAAUUUAUGUUUCUUAAAAGUCGAGUCUAACCGAACUGUUAAGUGUGAACACCUUGUUUGAAGUUGAUUAAUUUUUCUAACUUAAAAGAAGCGUAACCAAUUACUGUAAUAUCUACUUUUUUGUAUUUGUCUGCAAUAACUAUCUGUGCCCUUUAGCCAAAUAAUUAUUGUAAUCUUCUCUUUGUUUAUUUUGAGUUAAUGUAAUCUUCUGUUAUUCAAAAGUGGUAAAAUGCAUUUAUUACUAAGUGAAAACACUUCAUCAUUUCACACUUUCUGGUUGGUUAUAAAUGGUGAAAGAUUCAUAUCCUAACACAUGUGUUUAGUUUUUUUUAGAUCGAUCAAUCUCGUUCCUUUUUCUUUCUUAGAUGCUAGAAAUGGUGGUCCGUCUCAUCAAAUGAUAAUCUUUCAUGUUAUAUGUAAGGAGAGUCACAAACCUGACAAAUAUGUGUGACAAUCUCUAAAAGAAACAACGACAACAACAACAACCCAGUGAGAUCCCCCAGGUGGGGUUUGGGGAGGGUAGUGUGUACACAGACCUUACCCCUACUCCGGGGAGUAGAGAGGCUGUUUCCGAUAAUUAAAGAAAGAAUACAGUAUUUCCUGGUGUUUAGAUAAACUUUUGUCAUUUCAUUUACAAAAGCAUGCCCUGUGUGUGAAAAAAAUGUCAUACAUUUUCUUGAAAAGACACAUUUGUCAGGCUUGUGACUUUCCUUUAAUGGCAUGGAAAAUAUUAUCAACUGGUGAGUGGACCUCCAUUCAUCUGAGUUGGAAAACGGAAUGGGUCAUUGAUCGGAUACUUCUCCGGUGCUGGAGCUGGAGCACUUUCACCGAUUUUCAAGAUUCCAGUGAUGUUUUUGAGUCGGUAAAUUUUAUUUUUUUUCCUUUAGAACCCUAGAUUGAUUAACCCUUUGAGUGAAUCUUAUCCUUUUCCAUGAUGAUUCUUGUUUUUUUUUGUGUGUGCAGAUUUUGGAACUUUAUUAACUGCUUCGAUUUGAUUGCCAAAUCUUGAAUCCUAAAUUGCUUUUAGAAGAAGCUAGGAAGAUUUUGAUAAUGUAAUUUCUGGAAAUUGUUCGUUUAUGGACAGAUAUGAUGUAUGUAUCUAUAAAUUGGAACUCUUAAAAGAUUAAUGUAGCUUAAUAGUGCAUCCAUGAAACCAUAGAUGAAACUAGUUUGAAUUAUUUUACCGAUUAGUAAGAUCUAUUGCAGGAAAAGGAAAUGUUUCUAAAUCUCCAUGAUAGGAUUGCUUAGUAAAUGAUUUCAUAUUCAUCUUUGAUAAAAUUAUCUUGUUACUGACCUGCUAUUUUUAGCUUCUCUUUCUUAGCAUGUUUAUGUCAGUAUUAUCUUAUUCUGUAUCUUGUUACUUGGUGGACUUUGGGUUUCCUUCAACACUUUCACAUACGGAUGGCUCAUUUGAAGGAGUUUCUCCUGAAACGAGAGCCUGUCCAAAUGUAAAACCUGUCUGGAUACGUCCUGCUAUUCUAGAUUCAUAAGUGUUUGAGGACAAGCGGCCACUCUGCAAUUAUCUUUGGUAUAUGUAAGGAAUAGAUUGCAUGAUGAUGAUAUAUCUGAACAACGUGGAGAAGGGAGACUCGUAAUCCUGAAGUGUUAUCAGGUUUUGGUGCACAAGGUAGCAUACCGUUGAGGAGAAAUUUUACGUACUAAGUUUUACAAUUUAUAUACGUGUAGGCCAUAGUGUUCUCCCUUGUCUCAUAAAUAGUCAAAACCAUAGGUGGCAUCCCUUUCCUUGUUAAAUGUAUAUAGAAGCUUUUGAUACUCUUAUGUAUAAGUAGCUCUUUAGAACAGAACAAAGUUGACCUACUGUAGAAAUGGUGGUCCGUCUUAUCGAAUGAUACAAUUCUUGUUAUAUUAUAAGGAGAAUUAUAGACCAGAUAAAUAUGUCUUCCAUAUUUUCUUCUAGCAAUUUUUCUUCUUUUGCAUACUUUAUCACUGAUUUUCUUUGGUCUCGUAAUGAUUAUUCCAAUCCAUUUCUCAUUAUUUUGACCUUUUUAUUUAUGAAGUCUCUUGUGAUUACAAGCGAUUAUCAAGUUUAGUUGCAGGUAUGUGGAAUGUUUCUCAAGGUUCAUGAUAUGAUUAUUUAGUUACUGAUUAUUUUCAUAUUUGCUGAAAUUGACUUGUUAAUUUACCUGUUAUACAUGUUAUGGUGCACAAUGUAGCAGCCUGUCAAGAAAAAGUUUUAUGUGCUGGAUUAAAAAAUAAUGGUCAGCCUGGUGCGCUAAGCUCCCGUUAUGUGCGGGGUUCGGGGAAAGACUGGACCACAAGGGUCUAUUAUACGCAACCUUACUAUGCAUAGCUGCAAGAGGCUGUUUCCACAGCUCGAACCCGUGACUUUCUGGUCACAUCGCAGCAACUUUACCAAGGCCCCCCUUCUUUUACGUGCUAGAUUGAGGUAGUUUAUUUCUUGGGCAAUAAGUUAAGGUGAUAGUAUGCUCUCAUAUCUCAGAAUAGUCAAUGCUAUAGCUGGCUCCCCUUUCUUAUUAAAUAUAUGUAUAUGUAAAAAUUUGGAUGAUCUUGUGUGUAAUUAGCUAUUUACAGCCGAAUAAACUCGAUCUACUGCACAAUUUUAGAGUUUCUGUAGACAUUUGGAGCAGAUUUCAUUGUCACUUUAGAACAUAAGUAUGCUUGUUCUAAUUAUGAAAAUAAGAUGUGUAGAUGAAAAUCUGUGACAGAGACAUGAAUGCAUCUACGUUAGGUAUCAAUUGCAUAUCAGAAUUGCAACGAUAUUGCCUCAGCAGAUCUGAUGCAAUGCUUUAGCUCUAGCACUUUCUUAGCUCUUUGGGCGUAUUUGCCUAUAUAUUGCUGUUAUGGAACAUUUGUUAAUCUAGAGACAUAAUGUUGAUAGUUCUGAGCUACUAGCCUUCUCCACAAGUGAUUUCACCUUGAAAUCCUUUCUUUCCUUUUGGGUUAGAGGUUAAGGUUGUCAGCACCAAUCCUAUAUCAUUUUUCAUCUGUCUUAUCAGUGGAAGGCAUGGUUUUCCUUAUUCUACUAUCUUUUGCUCCAGCUCUUUUCCUUUAUUAUGUUUUGUGCAUUACUUGAGUGCAGAAAUGAAUCUAAUUUCACAUGCUGUAGGUGUAAACUGCCGAGUGAUAUCUUCAGAUUCAACAAUAUGCCGUGAAGGAAAAUCCUAGUACUUGAAAAGCAUCCAGAAAGGAGAUCAUCGAAAGAAUCUCAACCUGCUUCGCGAGGGCCCAAAAUAUAUGCCGGCAGCUGCUUUUCAAACCAGUCUGUUCUUCCAUUCAGCUACUGAAAAUGAUAGGGAGCUAUCAAGGGUGACAGCCACGCUGCCUCUUCAUUCCUCAUUUGGUUCACCCACAUAUUAGGCAUAACUGGUUAAAGGCACGUAAUUACCUAUUCGGAUUAGCUACAUUUGAUUCGACUGGUAGUAAUUCAUUCAAGACGCCGCUUGCACUUAUCUUCCUAGAGUUGGAAUUCAAGAUGAUUUCCAAUUUUUCAUGUUCAUGCCAUUUUCAUGAAUUCAGGCGACAGUGCUCGAAUCGCUUAAAAUUUUGUGGGCUUAUUAGAAACGACCUAAUGAAUAGUAGUCAUUGUUUUGUCAUGAUCAUUCCUCGUUUUUUGGUACUUUUAAGGUCAAAAAAUAAAAAUUCAGGACAA